rnacentral:rRNA from 1 species
UACGUAGGAGACGAGCGUUGUCCGGAGUUACUGGGGCGUAAAGGGUGCGCAGGUGGCGGCUGCGCGUGGGGGGUGAAAUCGCCCGGCUUAAACUGGGCGGGGGCCUUCCACGACGGCGUGGCGUUGGAGCAGCGGAGGGGGACGUGGAAUUCCGGGUGGAGGCGGUGAAUGCGUAGAGAUCCGGAGGAACACCGACGGCGCAGGCAGCGUCCUGGCCGCUGCUGACACUGAGGCACGAAAGCUGGGGGAGCAAACAGG